GAUCCUGGCUCAGAUUGAACGCUGGCGGCAGGCCUAACACAUGCAAGUCGAACGGUAACAGGAAGAAGCUUGCUUCUUGCUGACGAGUGGCGGACGGGUGAGUAAUGUCUGGGAAACUGCCUGAUGGAGGGGGAUAACUACUGGAAACGGUAGCUAAUACCGCAUAACGUCGCAAGACCAAAGAGGGGGACCUUCGGGCCUCUUGCCAUCGGAUGUGCCCAGAUGGGAUUAGCUUGUUGGUGGGGUAACGGCUCACCAAGGCGACGAUCCCUAGCUGGUCUGAGAGGAUGACCAGUCACACUGGAACUGAGACACGGUCCAGACUCCUACGGGAGGCAGCAGUGGGGAAUAUUGCACAAUGGGCGCAAGCCUGAUGCAGCCAUGCCCGCGUGUAUGAAGAAGGCCUUCGGGUUGUAAAGUACUUUCAGCGGGGAGGAAGGGAGUAAAGUUAAUACCUUUGCUCAUUGACGUUACCCGCAGAAGAAGCACCGGCUAACUCCGUGCCAGCCGCCGC
rnacentral:rRNA from 1 species